AGCUCAAAUUUGUAAUCUGGCCCUUUCAGGGUCCGAGUUGUAAUCUCGAGAAGUGUUUUCCGCGCCGGACUGCAUACAAGUCUGUUGGAAUACAGCGUCAUAGUGGUGAGAGCCCCGUAACUGAUGCAGAUGCCCGGUGCUUUGUGAUACACUUUCGAAGAGUCGAGUUGUUUGGGAAUGCAGCUCAAAUUGGGUGGUAAAUUCCAUCUAAAGCUAAAUAUUGGCGAGAGACCGAUAGCGAACAAGUACCGUGAGGGAAAGAUGAAAAGCACUUUGGAAAGAGAGUUAACAGUACGUGAAAUUGUUGGAAGGGAAACGCUUGAAGUCAGACUUGCUAUUCGGAAUUCAGCCGCAAGGUGUACUUUUCGAUUUGCAGGCCAGCAUCAGUUUUUGGGGGUGGAAAAGGGUGGAGAGAAGGUAGCAACCUCGGUUGUGUUAUAGCUCUUUACUGGAUUCAUCUUUGGGGACUGAGGAUCGCAGUGCGCAAUUCAUUUUGCAAACCUUUCGAGGUUUUCGUACUUAGGAUGCUGGUGGAAUGGCUUUAAACGACCCG
rnacentral:rRNA from 1 species